CCUACGGGGUGCAGCAGUGGGGAAUCUUGCACAAUGGGCGCAAGCCUGAUGCAGCCAUGCCGAGUGUAUGAAGAAGGUCCUAGGGUUGUAAAGUACUUUCAGUCGGGAGGAAGGCGUUGAUGCUAAUAUCAUCAACGAUUGACGUUACCGACAGAAGAAGCACCGGCUAACCCCGUGCCAGCAGCCGCGGUAAUACGGAGGGUGCAAGCGUUAAUCGGAAUUACUGGGCGUAAAGCGCACGCAGGCGGUUGAUUAAGUUAGAUGUGAAAUCCCCGGGCUUAACCUGGGAAUGGCAUCUAAGACUGGUCAGCUAGAGUCUUGUAGAGGGGGGUAGAAUUCCAUGUGUAGCGGUGAAAUGCGUAGAGAUGUGGAGGAAUACCGGUGGCGAAGGCGGCCCCCUGGACAAAGACUGAUGCUCAGGUGCGAAAGCGUGGGGAGCAAACAGGAUUAGAUACCCUCGUAGU
rnacentral:rRNA from 1 species